ACCGCGAUCGCUCAGUUGGUAGAGCAUCUGCCCAGUGAGCGGAAUGUCGCUGGUUCGAUCCGGACUCGCGGCG
rnacentral:tRNA from 1 species